AUGAAGCCUUCUCUGCCUUACG
rnacentral:miRNA from 1 species